GGAAAGUUGAAAAGAACUUUGAAGAGAGAGUUCAAGAGUACGUGAAACCGUUCAGGGGUAAACCUGAGAAACCCAAAAGAUCGAAUGGGGAGAUUCAUCGUCAGCUUCGAUGGCUUUCGUGUGGUACGCGAUGUUCGGGGCUUCGGCUCUGUGGCACGCGUCCACUGCGGUAUGUCUGUCGAAGUCGGUGUGCACUUCUUCCCUAGUAGGACGUCGCGACCCGUUGGGUGCUGGUCUACGGCCUGGUUCGUUGCCUGUUGCGUCGCGUUUACGCGUGCACGCUACAGACGACCGAUGUGCCCGACCGGCUGCCCGGCGGUAGCAAAUCAUUUAAUACGGUAUCGGGCCGCACAAAGUGCGUUCUGGCUCGUCGGCAGGCUCGCCUCGCUCGGAUUUACGGACCUAGUGCCGUUGUCGGGUGCUUGGCGUGGCUGUUAGUCGACGAUGUCCUCGAACAGGCCUCGAAUAUUCGAACGGAUAUACCGGUCGGCGACGCUACUGCUUUG
rnacentral:rRNA from 1 species